rfam:Klebsormidium nitens chloroplast DNA, scaffold: kfl01813, whole genome shotgun sequence.
GAGAGCCGUAUGCAAUGAAUAGUUGCAUAUACGGUUCGGGAACAGAAAGUUAAAUAUAAGUCCAUUUGACAAAACUUAACUUUCGAGUUUCAU